rnacentral:pre_miRNA from 1 species
UUAACUCAAAUUUGUAUGCAGUUGGAACAGCGCCCCUAGCGGCAAACGUACGCAAGUGUUCUAACUUCACACAAAUUUGAGUUA